CCACCAGACAUCCGAGUGCGUGGUGAAGAUUCCAUCUUUGAGGGACUCGGGGGCCAUCCAGCGCACGGGCAGCAGCCCCUUCCCGCCCUUGCGGCUGCCCCAUGCCCACCCGGCACCGUCUGUACCCCCGAUCUUGACAGUGAAGUCCUGGGACACCAUGCAGUUCCGGGCCGCCAGAUCGCGGUGCACAAACUUGUUGGCAGCGAGAGGCUUCCUUGAGGAACUCGAUGCGUUCUCGUGGACUGGCCAGCUCAUUGACGGUCUUCAGGGCCACGGGUGUGGACUCCUCUCCGGCCUCUAGCCCUUGUGCCAGCCCCUCGUAUACCAUCCCAAAGGAGCCCUGGCCCAGUUCCCGGAUUAUGGAGAUCUGCUCCCGAGGCACCUCCCACUCAUCAGGGACGUACACUGAGAGGAGCCCCAGGGCAUCUGGCACCAACCAACCAGGGCGCUUGGUGAGGUCUCCUAUCUCUUCCCCUGCUUUCUUGGCUGAGAACACGGUGACCAAAUGAACACUCCCAGUGCGCCCAGACUAGGGAGUCCCCGGAAGGAAGACCUGCACUGGUAACAUCAGGGAAAUUUGGUCCCUCAGACUGAAAGGUGGUCUCCUCCAUGCUGCC